AUGAUCUACGACAAGGUGGGUUCUUGGUGGGAUGGGGUCCUCACCAACAAUGCGUUGCCAACGAAAGCCCUCACCUCCCUUCUUCAUCUUGUAAGCUGGGUGGUUUGGAAUGAGCGAAAUGCACGCGUGUUCAGGAAUGCGGCGCCGGUGAUGGUGGUCGUGCGAUCUAUUAAGGAGGAGGCUUUCCUAUGGGCCAUGGCGGGCGCUAAACAUUUGUGUAAUUUGAUGCCGCGAGAGUAG
rnacentral:rRNA from 1 species